rnacentral:rRNA from 1 species
CACGUAGGGCGCAAGCGUUGUCCGGAAUUAUUGGGCGUAAAGAGCUCGUAGGCGGUUCGUCGCGUCGGCUGUGAAAUCCCGAGGCUCAACCUCGGGUCUGCAGUCGAUACGGGCGGACUGGAGUUCGGCAGGGGAGACUGGAAUUCCUGGUGUAGCGGUGAAAUGCGCAGAUAUCAGGAGGAACACCGGUGGCGAAGGCGGGUCUCUGGGCCGAUACUGACGCUGAGGCGCGAAAGCGUGGGGAGCGAACAGG